GUUGUACCUUGCGAGUCUAGAAGCCUCUUGAGCAAGCUUCUCGAAGAUAUCAUUGAUGAAACUGUUCAUGAUUCCCAUGGCCUUGCUUGAGAUCCCGAUAUCUGGGUGGACUUGCUUGAGCACCUUGAAGAUGUAGAUCUUGUAGGUCUCAACGCUUUUCUUGGAUCUCUUCUUCUUCUUGUCUCCGGCUGCUGCGCCUUCCUUAAGAAGCUUCUUCCCGGCCUUUGGUUUCUUCUCAGCAGGGGCUUUCUCGCCAACGGUGGUCUUCUUCUCCUCCGAUGGCUUCUCAGCUGGCUUCUUCUCGGCCGGCUUCUUCUCAGCUUUUGGCGCCAUUAAGAAUUUCGCUUCCUUUUCUUUUUGGAAAGCAACGAAAGCUUUGAGCAAAGAAGGUUGGAAAUUUUGGUUCCCUUUCGGCGUCUAAUUGCGAGUUGGGAAAUAAGGAAUUUGGGGUUUGACAUUUAUAGAGGGGAAACGGAGAGUUUGAUUGGAGGAUUUCGAGAGACGCGGAUUGCUAAUGUGGAGUUUUCUGACCUUUGGAUGAGGAAUUUAGAUCGACGGCUUGGAAAGAUGCGUGAAGGAUAGUUUACGUGGGAAGUGGAUAUAGACGUGGCGAUUUAUCAUUCGUAGGAAUUAUGCUGCUUUGGAUUGAUGAGCUAGGAUUGUGCGCGGGUGAUCCGUUUAGCAUUUCGAGACGCUUUUCGCUGCCCGCCCAAGUGAAGAAUCAAUUUUAAAUUGUCGUCCAUCAAUAUUGGAAAAUUGCAUUUCAAUCAAAUAAAUUUUAUCAUUUAUAAACAUGCUACAAUUAAACUUACGCUGAUCUUAAACUUUUUAUUUGAAAUUAAAAGCAAUUAAUUAAUUCUUUAAUACGAUUUUGUAAUUUUUUUAUAAAUUAAAAUAUACAGUCCAAUCCAAUCAAACGAGAUUUAUUAUAGUAGACAAUGAUGGAUUAAAUUUAAAAAAUAUAUAUAAAAAAAAGUGUGUUAGAAAAGAAAGUGGAAAGAGCCGAGUAAAAUAAAAAGUAUUUGAAAGAGUGUAAAGAUAAGCAUCUUACAACCAACUCAAAGGAGUUCUUGAUUUGUCUUUGAUAAAUUAUCAAAGCUCUUAUAUAUAAACUAUACCCAUACUUCGAUAAACUGUUAAAAGAAUUACUUUUUAAUAAAUUUUAUAUAAAAACUAUCAAGUUAAAUUCUCCAAAAACAUCUUAAUAAUUAAUCUAAUUUAUGAACCAUGCCACGUGUACUAGAUUAUUUUCAUUGUUGUUAUGUUGUUCCAUUCAUUUAUUGCCCUUUAUGUAGUCAUAUAAUCUCUAUAUAAUAUGCAAAGAGAGAGAUAAUAUAUUAAUAAUCAAAAUUAAGUAUAUAUUAUUAUUUAUGUAAAUAUAAUUAUAGAUUAAUUAGUAGUGAAUAUAUAAUUAUGCAUUAACGCCUGCCCCUCUUAAAAAUGUUCAUUUAAUAAUGGCAAUUCAUUUGAGAAAAAAAAAAAGGCAAUUCAAAAUUCAUUUUUAUAUUCAAUAAAUUAAUUAGAUUGGAUGAGGAAUAACAAAUUUUGUUUCCAUUAUUCAUUAUUCAUCUCACAGUCACAUUCCCAUGCUUAUUUCAAACCAGGGGGUUGUGAUUUUUUAUUUUUUAUUUUCAAAUGUUUAUUAAAAUUAUGUUAUGUGAUAAUUGACACAUUUCUUGAUACUCAGUUCAUAAAACAAAUUUAUCUCGUACUUAUUAGAUAUUACGAGAAAAAUAACUCAUAUUAUUUUAUAUAUUGUAAAGUUCCUUUUAUUACAGAGAUUAUUAAAAUGUAUGUCAUUCUAAUUCUGAUUACUGAGAUAAUAAUGAGAAUUUGAGAUUAGUACUCAAAAGCAUAUUGAUAUCAAUGUGUUGAUAAAUGUUCACCUAGUAAGAGGAAUAUAUCAUAUUCGUUAAUAUUUCACUAACAUGACACUAACAACAUAAACAUUGGGCUCAAUUGAAAAUUCAAAUAAAAUAUCUAUAACUUAUUUUUUAUUAAUAUUUUAUUAGUAUUAAUAUAUAUAUAUUUAUAAAUAUUUUAAUAAAAUUUUUAUUUACGCAUGCACGAAGUAAUAGUACCAACUUUUAAAAUUCUAAUUACGUUAAUUAAUUUAAUUGAAAUGUCUUUCUUCAUUAGAAAUGACGAAUUCAUAUACAAAAUUUUUAAAUCACAACGAGAUAGAUACAUAUAUGGAAUUUGCUCAUGUUAUAUGGAAUUAAUUUAAAUCACAAUGCAUAGAUUCAUAUAUGAUCUAGUAAUUAUUAUUUUCUUUGUCUUUAUGAAUUAUAUUUGUAUACAUAUAUUAAUAUUUGACUAGAUUGAAACAUGUAUGCAUAUAUAUAUAUAUAUAUAUAUAUAUAUAUAUACAUAUAUAAAUUUUUUUACAAGUUAAAACAUAAAUGUAUAAUAAUAAUAAUAAUAACAAUAAAUUCUUCAAAUUUCACCACUUGUCAAGCAAAUGCUCAUAACAAGGAAUCAAUUAUUGUAACCAAGAAAAUGUAACAAUGUAAUUACCAUAAUUAACAGCAUUGUUUAUGAAUAAUAUAUUUUUAUAAUGAUUUUUUUGUAUAUUGUCUUCUUAAAUCUUGUUCAUUAUGUAAUCAAUUAUAUGUGGAAAGGGAUUAAUUAAUCAAUAUGACUACAACAUAUUCAUUAAUUAUUCCAAGCAUAAAGUACGUUACCUCUAAGCCAUUGUUAUCCUUUUUUUUUAGGGGUAAAAAGGUUAAAAAUUCAAAUCCAUCAUAUGUAGCAAAAAAAUAUUAUAUUCAAAAAAGUAUUUUAUUAGAGUUUGAAAAUUUCUAAUUCAAAUUUUAAAUAAAUAAUUCUCUCAAAAAAUUAAAUAAAUAAAAUGAGAAAACAAUUUUUCAUUUUGUAUGGAUAAUUAAAAAUUUUAGUAUGUGGUGCUAUAAUUCCGACAUAAUGCUUGAUAUAAUAUUUGAUCUGUGAUUCUAGUAUUUCAAGUAUAAUACUUGAUUUUCUUAACCUAUGGUGUUACAAUUCCGAGCAUAAUACUUGAUAGAUCGUUAAUGUGUGUGGUGCUAUUGGUAAAAGUAAUUUAUACUAGUAAAAUUGAAACUAGUAGUCACAUAGUUGGACUUAGAGCAGACUCGGCUUGGGUUCUAAAUUGUUUGUCUAAGCCCGACAUGAAGUCGGCCAGACUUGCAUAUCUUUGCGUGGGCGUUCAUGAAGGCUCAACCAAUCGGACUGAAAACCCCACUAGCCCAACACGCGUAUCUUUGUUCUCUCGGGGUUGACCCGUUCACAGUCUCAGCAAGCUCUGCCCUGGAACUCUCAUACGCUGAUGAAAGCUCCCAUCCCUGCAAGCCCCCCGAGACCCAUGCUUCAAAUCUAGAAAAAAACCUCCCAUUUAAUCCCGAAAAUGAGGCUAACCCGCUCUCCUCGGCCUCUCACAACCCCUCACUUUUUCCCGAAACAGAUAUUUUCUUCUACAUCCAAAUUCUCCACUCAAGAUAAUGACGACAAAAAAAAAGACACCCAGAUCAUUUCCAACCUCAAACUCAUUGUACGAGGAAGACAAAGCUGGAAGAUCGCAUUAAACGACACGGUUUUCCUAAAGCCUCAGCACGUCGAGGAAGUGUUGAUCCAAACCUUGGACGACCCGAGGUUAGCUUUAAGGUUCUUUAACUUCCUUGGACUCCACAGAAACUUCCACCAUUCAACGGCGUCGUUUUGCGUAUUGAUUCACGCUUUAGUUAACGUCAAUCUCUUCUGGCCCGCCUCCUCGCUUUUACAAACGCUUUUGCUUCGUGGGUUGAGCCCAAUUGAGGUUUUUGAAGCUCUUUCGAAGGCUUAUGAGAAAUGUAAGUUUCAUUCGAGUUCGGGUUUUGAUUUGUUGAUUCAAAAUUAUGUGCAAAAUAAGAGAGCUUUUGAUGGUUUAAUGAUAUUUAGGUUAAUGAGGAAGUUUGAUUGUUAUUUAUUUCCUGAAAUUAGGACUUUAAGUGCUCUUUUAAACGAUUUAGCAAAAAUAAGGCAAUUUGGUGUUGUUUUGGAAGUGUUUGAUGAGAUUCUUAAAGCCGGAAUUAGGCCUGAUAUUUUUAUAAACACAGUGGUGAUUCGUAGUUUGUGUGAAUUGAAGGAUUUUGUUAGAGCUAAGGAAAUGGUUUGUCAAAUGGAGUCGAAUGGGAGUGAGUUGAAUGUGGUUGUUUACAAUGUGUUUAUUCAUGGGCUUUGUAAGAGUCAGAGGGCGUGGGAGGCGGUUGAGAUUAAGAAUGGUUUGGUUCAAAGGGGGUUGAGAGCAGAUGUUGUCACGUAUCGUACAUUAGUUCUUGGCUUAUGCAGAGUGGAAGCAUUUGAUGUUGCUUUGGAGUUGAUGAAGGAAAUGAUGGAGUUGGGUUUUCUUCCCAGUGAAGCUGUAGUUUCAAGUCUAGUUGAUGGGUUGAGGAGGAAGGGGAAGAUUGAGAAUGCCUUUGGUUUAAUAAAGAAAGUGGGGGAACUUGGGGUAGCACCUAAUUUGUUUGUUUACAAUGCAUUGAUUAAUUCAUUGUGCAGAGAUGGGAAAUUUGAUGAAGCAGAGUUGCUUUUCAAUGAAAUGGAAAGCAAGGGUUUAAAUCCAAAUGAUGUUACUUAUUCUAUUUUGAUUGAUUCAUUUUGUAGAAGAGGGAAAAUGGAUAUUGCACUUAGUUUUCUCGGUAAAAUGAUGGUGGCAGGCAUAAAAGUAACAGUCUAUCCCUACAAUUCUUUGAUCAGUGGGCAUUGCAAGGUAGGAAAUUUGAGUUUAGCAGAGUCUUUUCUCAGUGAGAUGAUUAACAAAGGAUUGCAGCCAACAGUGAUAACUUAUACAUCAUUAUUAAGUGGAUAUUGUAAUGAAGGGAAAUUGCAUAAGGCAUUUAGGCUCUAUCAUGAGAUGACAGGGAAGGGAAUUGCACCGAACACUUACACAUAUACCGCCCUUAUAUCUGGCCUUUGUCGAGCAAAUAUGAUGGCUGAGGCAAUUAGAUUGUUUGGUCAAAUGGUAGAGAGAAACAUUGUGCCAAAUGAAGUGACAUAUAAUGUUCUGAUUGAGGGGCGUUGCAGGGAUGGUAACAUGGUAAAGGCCUUUGAAUUGCUUGACGAAAUGGUAGAGAGAGGUCUUGUGCCUGACACAUAUACUUAUAGGCCUUUAAUAAGUGGUCUUUGUGCUACUGGUAGAGUGUCGGAAGCCAAAGAGUUCAUGGAUGGCCUUCACAGAGAUCAUCAUAAGUUGAAUGAGAUGUGCUAUAGUGCACUCUUACAUGGUUAUUGCAAGGAAGGAAAAUUAGAGGAUGCGUUGAGUGCAUGUCGUGACAUGGUUGCACGAGGCAUUGACAUGGAUCUUGUGUGUUAUGGUGUACUUAUUGAUGGAACUCUAAGACAGCAUGACACACAAAAGUUAUUUGGUCUUUUAAAGGAGAUGGAUGAUCAAGGAUUGAGCCCUGACAAUGUGAUAUAUACGAGCAUGAUUGAUGUGCAUGGUAAAGCAGGAAAUCUUAGGGAGGCUUUUGGGCUUUGGGAUAUUAUGGUUGGUGAAGGAUGCAUUCCAAAUGUUGUGACAUAUACUGCUCUGAUAAAUGGCUUAUGUAAGGCAGGGUUCUUGGAUAAAGCUGAGCUUCUUUGUAAAGAAAUGCUGGUCAGUAAUUUGCUUCCAAAUCAGACAACCUAUGGUUGUUUCGUUGAUCGUCUCACUAAGGAAGGAAAUAUGGUGAAAGCUGUAGAGCUUCACAAUGCAAUUGUUAAAGGGGUUUUAGCUAACACAGUCACAUACAAUAUACUUAUCCGUGGCUUUUGUAAAUUGGGUAGACUUCAGGAGGCCAUGGAGCUUUUAGUUGGAAUGACUGACAAUGGUAUUUUCCCAGACUGUAUUACUUAUUCAACUAUAAUUUAUGAGCACUGUAGAAGGGGUAGUUUACAGGAAGCUAUUCAGCUGUGGGGCUCUAUGCUAAAUAAGGGUAUAAAGCCUGAUACACUGGCAUAUAAUUUUUUGAUACACGGUUGUUGUGUUGCUGGAGAACUGAAAAAGGCUUUUGCAUUGCGUGAUGACAUGUUGAGAAGAGGUGUUAAGCCAAAUCAGAUUACAUAUGAUACUCUUGUUCAUGGAACUCGUUUGAAGAAUUCUUGUAUGAACAAUGAUGGAUAGUAAGCAUGUUUGAAAAACGUUUUUUUGUGAUACAAAUUUUUUGACAGGAAACUGAACAGAGUUCCAAAGACCUGUUGUUAAGGGGCUGGCCUUAAGAGAUGAUAUCAUUAAAAUUCUCGACCAAAAUGAAUGAUGGUUUAAGCUUAAUCGACUUCCUCAGGAAAUGACAGGUUCAUCCACUCCACUGCCAAAAAGAAGACAGUAUUCUUUGGAUAGUCUUCCUGUAUAUUACCAUAAAGUUGUAAAGUAAGAGGAUGUAGCAUACGCCUGUAAGGAUGGCGAAAAAGUUUACUGAAGCCUUACCAUUCAUUAGAUCAAAUGUAAGUUGUAAUAAGCUCAACAAGGGCCUCCCUUGCUUAUUGGUUGAUAACUUCCACUGGCAAUAGUUUGAUUCAACAGGGCCACUUUGUGGGAAAGUGAAUCUGCAACUCUAUGCUUUCUACUUCUUGGUACCUCGCAGACCAGUUGCUUUAUUGGCUGUAGAUGUCAGCAUCUUGUUAAAGAUGCAAUAUACUCUUCAACUCCAACCAAAACACAAGAACGUGCAUAUGUUACCAAAACACAAGAAUGGGCAUGUGUCAUAAAAUCUCAUGUCAGAUAUAUUAAAAAAAUACAUGAACAUUGUAUCGAUUUCUUGACAUAUACGUAUUUCAUUUCAUUACCAUGAUGUAAAAUGGUGAUGAAACAGGUGAGAACUUCAAUAAAUUCACAGCAGACUCUUGGCCGGAAAGCCUGAUGCUUUGGCCCUCCAGUUUAAAAAACCGUAGCCAUGAUUGCUGAACAGGUUACUAAUAUGAGCUCAGAAGUCUUGCAAUAGUCACACAUCCCUUAACUUAUACUUCAAAUUAAAUUCAAAGAAUACAACAGAUUGUGGAAAUCAGAAACGGUCCCAUUACAAAAAAUAUAUGACCAACUUCAUUAAUAUUUUAUACGCAUGUCACAUUAAAUCCAGCAACUAGCAAGCGUUCUUGUUCAGGUUGCCAUGAAGGAACAGUUUCAGAUAUAUUGCAUACCAAAUAAAAUCAAAUAAUGCAAGCCACCAUGUUAAUCUGUAAGGGCACCACCCUGUUAUGUGAGUAACCAAACAUCCAUUUUUUUAAAGUUGCAUGAACAAACCUCAAAGGAGCGUGUACCACCCCCCUGAAGAAGAUACACUUUCGUUUAACGACUCAACUGUAAGACUCUCGUCAUAUAACCUCCACGCAUAACAAAUUAUAAGAUAUAAAUGGAAAUCACUAAAACUUGUUCUAGACAAUGACUUUAAUAUAAAAACUUGAACAACAAACCAAUAGCAUAAUUCAGUCAGGUCGAUACCUGCGCCCCCACAACCUAUUAACAUUUCACUUAAAGCAAAAGCAGAAAGCAUUUGAUUAUCUCCAUUCCUGCCUCUUGGAGAUUUCAUAGAUCCAUUUAGCUGGCACGGCUUCUUAUAACAUCAAGUCCCAUCUCAGUGGGAUCAGUUGCUUGCAGCUCUACUUGAAUACCAUCCAACUCUCUCUUGAACCUGUCCUUGGAGCUUGCAUAAAUCAUCUUGCUUCUCACCCUUGAUGUGUCAGGAGACCUUCAUACAAACAGUAAGAAAACAUAAACAUCAAUAGUUAAAACGUACAGGCUUUGGAAUAACAGUAAAACCCGACCAGUUUUAAACAUAUAAUAAUACCAUGCAAUGAAGAAAAUCCUGCUUUUCUGGCAAUUCUCAGCAGUCACAAAGUCAAAAUCAUAUACAGCAUAUCGACACUCAUCAGCAGGGAGGCUUGCAGUGAAAUCCUCGUAGCUUUGGGUUGGCUCACCAAGCUUUUCCACAACAACCUGCUUUUGUUUCUCCUCAAUCUUGAAUACUAUGAAGCGGUAAGUUCUUUUAGCCUUUAACUCUAGAAACUUCAGCUUGCAGUCAUCAUGCACAGCCAUACCAGAAGCUGCGUUAGCCUGUAAUAGUAUGGGGUAGAAUACAUAAGCUUUCUCACAUUAAAAACCCCUUCAAAUUAUAUAAGACCAACUAAUCCAUCAGCUUUUUCUAAGCACCUUUUUUUACCCUUGGCAAGCAUUCCCAAGAAAUGAAAUCAUAAAUGGGCUAGUUAAGAAAUGACAUGUCUUUGAGUUCUCUCCCAUUUAGAAAAGAAGGGAAGGGCAGAACAAUGACUCAAACCAAUUACUGUCAUUCUCACACUCUUUAAAAUGAGAGCCCAACUUCCUCAACCAACCCACAAUGACUAACCAAACAGGACAACCACAUUGAUCCAUCGCAGUUAUUUUCCACUGUUUCAGCAAUGAACUGUAAACUUGAAAUCACCUGAAAAUUCUUCACAUUUAACUGGCCUAAAUGCAAUAUUCCAACCUUAAGAGUAUUAACUAACUGGCAAUGGACUGUAAACUUGAAAUCACUUGAAAAUUCUUCACAUUUAACUGGCCUAAAUGCAAUAUUCCAAUCUUUAGAGUAUUAACUAACUGGGGCCACUCUGAGAGAUGAAUGCCAAUGAGACUGUUUGUGAUAAAGUCAAGCAACAACGACAAUAAUAAAGGUAGCUGAGAUGACAUGCCAUGGGUCAUAAAAGAGACAGGCUUCUGCGGUGAUGCAUAUCAUCUUGUGGAAAAACAUAAACUAACUGUUUUAAAAAUAAUGAGAAACAAAAAAUCGAAAUCCAAAAUCAUAACCUAUCCAAAAUGGACAAUGGAAGAAUGAUCAAAGAAAUCCCAUUUUGAACCAAAGGUCGAGAAAGCCAUACGGAUUAGGAAGCUGGUGCUUAACAAUCAACACUUCAUUAAAUAUUAUAAUCCUUACUAAUACAAGUAAUCAAACAUAAAUUCUCAAAGCAAUCACAAUGGCAGAUCCAUGGAGAUUAACUGAGGCAUUUUCUUUUAUCUAAAAUAAAAUUCAUAAAUUUGAUUACGAAUUUACAAUCCAAAACGACAACACCGCAGCAGUCAGCAAGCAAGAGAUCAAACAAUUAAAAUCGAAAUUUCUAUUAUAAAAUCAUCCAUUGGAUGAAAAAUUAUAAAGGAAAUGCAAAUCUAGCAAUCAAAAUUUUUCUAAAAAAUUAAAAAAAAAUUUUAAAAAAUUAAACUAAGUUAAUCAGCAGAAAACACAGAGAUCUAUGUUCAAGAUAACAACAAAUCAGAUCUACAUUAACCAAAAAAAAAUUUUAAUUCCAUAGCAAGUCAAAGAAGCAAAGAUCAAAGACCAAGACUUAAAAUGAAAAGGAAAAAAUAUAACAGCAAAAAGAAAUGAAUACGAAAAUCUCACCAUGGCUAUUUUAGGCAGAACUUGCAGAGAGAAAAUCUAGGGCGACAAAAAAAUCUAAAGAGGUGGAAGAAGGAAUUGAGGGCUUUCUCAAAGAGACUGAGAUAAUAAUAAAAGGACAGCUCCCUUUCUUCUUUUUUUUUUUUCUCCGUGAAGUGAAAUAUUUCAGACCUUUUUUUUUUUGGACGGCUCCACUCCGCUAAAUAUCAUGAUGGAGGUCGUGCGAGACAACGGAGAGAGAAAAGUUGGUCUGUCCAAUAAUGGAGCGACGCGUGGUUUAAAGUUAAAAUGUCGGCUAUGCCCCGAAAUCUGGUUGCUUUCGCGGUCGGUUUUCGACUGGGAUUCGUGAGAUCGGCUCAAACAAGCGAUCGUAACCUUUUUUUAAGAUUCGGUCCAGACCAAUGAGCCUGAUGUGGCCCGGAAUGAUGUUGUGGGUGAUACUGAUACGCGGGAAAACUAUGAAAACUAAGCCCAAUUCGGUCUGGGCCGGAUAGUUUUAUAUUUUGUAGUUUUAUCUGACAUAAAAUGGAUAAAAAAAUAUAAUAAUUAGUUUAAAAUAAAAUAUAAAUAUUUUAAACACAAUGAAAAAUAAGAAUAAAUAUAAUUUGAUUAUAUGUUAAGUAAAUUAAAUUUCAUAAAAUCUUAAUUUAAAUAUAUAAAAAUAAAAGAUAAAAAAUCAUAUCAUUUAUCAUAAAAUAUAAAACCCAAAUAUUAGUUUUUUUUAUAAAAAAUUUAUAACAAUUAUAUCUUUGAAAUUAGGUAACCAGAACUUUAAUAUAUAUAUGUAACAUCUACUAUAAAAUGAAUAACAAAUGUCGUAAUCAACUUUAAAUGAAUUGAAAUGAUUGUAAUUGUAAUGCAAUGUACCAAUAAGUAUAAAUUGAUUAUGGUUCAACGUAAAUAAGUGAGAAAAACUUGAAAGUUGAAAUUAGCUUUCUCAAAAUCUUAACGUAAAAGAGUAAAGAUAAGUUAAAUUAAGGUCAUAUCAUUUAUCAUCAAAUAGAAAAAUCUUAAUAUUUUUUUAUAUAAACAAUUUUAAAAUGAUUUGUAUCAUUCAAACUAAUUACAAGAAUUCUUAUUCAAAAUAAAUAGUUUCAUGCAAUUAAAUAAAUUUAUAAUGUUAAAAAUAUAAGAUUUUUAAAAAUUUAAGUAAAUAUGUGUCAAUAAAGAUUAAAAAUACAUAAUAUUUGUUGUAAAACAAAUAAAAAUUGUCGUAAUCAUCUUAAAAUAAAUUAUCAUGAUUAUAAACGUAAAAAAAAACCAUCUCUUUAUAAAUAUUAUAAUAAACAUUGAGAAUAAGGAUAAGAAUAAUUAAUGUAAAAUAGAUAAAAAAUGCCAUAAUUAUUAAAAUUACCUAAUAAGUUUGAUUGAUGAUUUUGUUGAAAACCUUGUGGAAAUAAAUUUAGUUCAUCGCUUUUCAAAAAAAAAAAUAGUUCAUUAAUAAUAAAAUGUUUAAUUAUUGGAACGGAUCAUAAGAAGAAUUUAAUUAUUUUUACUAAUUAUUUCGACCAAUUUUUCUUUUACACAAAACGAGAUUCAUGAAAUUUGUAAUCAUUGUGGAAAUUACAUAUUUCCUAUUCUUAAGUUUAACUUUGAUGGUUGGAACGGUAGGAGUUUAAAUGAAAACUUUGAUUUUUUUAUAUAUUUGUAUAAAUAAAAAUUAUAAUUACAAUUAAAUAAGUUUAAUAUAGAUGACGUAACUAUUAUAUGGAGUAGAAUAAGCUAAAAGACAAACUAAAUAAAUAAAUUAACAAAUCAAUGUAGGGUGGAAAUUUAGGUCAAAAUUCUAUUAUUUUUGGUGACAUAUUCGCAUAAAUAAAAUUUAUAAUUACAUAUAAAUAGUUUUUAACAUAGAUGAAAAAUCAACUUACGGUGGAGCUCGAGCUUAAGACUUAAAAAUAUUAAAUUCUUUUCUUUUUUUCCAUUGAAACAAGACUUCAUAAACAUGAAAAUCUUAAUUUUGAAUCUCUUAGUUUAGUUAACUUAAAUAAGAGUGAAAUUUCAAGAGAGGGAUGAAUGAGAUUCUUUAAAAACUUUUAUAAUUUUGAAGAUGACAAAUAUUUUGUGAGCUUGAAAAGCCUUUUUGUUACUCUUGUCAAAACUUGACUUUUAGCGAAGUAAGAAUUUAAGAAUAGAGAGAAGCUUGUGCAAGUAUUUUAUAGAAAUUCGAUCUUUUUAUUUACGUCAUUUCUCUUAGUUACUUAAAGAGUUUAAAAUUUAGUAUAAAAUAUGUAUUUUGGAGGUCUAAGUACAAUAUUUACAAAACCCUUUCAAGACUAAAGUUUGAAAUCUCUACUUUUUUAAUAGUUAAAGGUAUAAUCAACAAUUACCUGUUAAUGGUUCAUGUAUAAGCUCUUUCAAAAUGUAACAAAGAAACAUGUAGAAAUUAAGAUGCCUUUCUAAAGUUGAUGAGCUCAAUUAAUAUAGAAGACUGAGAAGUAAAUGAUGAUUAAUAAGGCUUUGAAGAUUGUAAAGACUAAAGAGAGAAUAAAAACUUAUUUAACGCUUUAAGCAUGUUCUUCUUUUGAUCUUGUGUUUUUCUUAAUCUUCUCAAAUCAUAAAUUGAUGAAAACCUUCAAUCUAUACCUUGGAAGCCUUUUUGGAGUCAUUAGGGUGCAUUAAAUGCAAAAACUAGCCGUUUGUUGCUUGAAAAACACGUUUAACGGUUACUUGGCACCAAUACCUAUCCCUUGGUAUUGAUACUUUGAGCUGCAAGAAAUUCAAAUCUUGCAAGAAGGUAUCAAUAUUUACUUAGUAAAUAUCGAUACUUACAAGGCAAUGGCAUUUUAUUUUAUUAUGACACUUUUAACACAUUUUUAUGUUAAAUGAAAAGUAAGAAUAAGUAUCAUAAUCCACGUAAAUGUUAAGUACAAUAAUGAAAAUAAUAACUUAACACUUCUCAUAAAUGAACAAAACUUUUCGUAACGGUUGCUAUGUGAAAAUAAUCUUAACAAAUAUGAAUUUGAAUAUUUUAUUUCUAUUGAUGGUAAUUUAUUGUGUUUUUUUUUAAAUAACUAAAAUCAAAUAUGUUAUAUUAUAAUUUGAACACAAUAAUAAAUUAAAUCUUAAAAUAAAAUGUCAACAAAGGUUAAAUCCAAUAAGCAUCCACUCUUACAUUUUCAAUAUUGACAAAUGAAAGUUAAAAUUCAAAAGUUUGUAUUUUUCAAAUUUAAUAAAAAUAAACAAAUUUUAAAUAUAUUUAUUGAUAUUUAAUUCUAUAUGUACAUAUUUAUAUGCAUUUUUAAAAAAAUUAAAAAUUAAACCAACACUUCGAAUAAGAGAAUACAUUCAUUUAUUGUUGAAAAAAAAAUUAUUCAAAUGCAUUUUGCUUAAAUUUAGUUGGCGUUUAGUACUUUAUAAUGCAACGUAAUUACAGUAAUGUGAUUACAAGUAAUGUGAUUGUAGGGAAGAUAACAUUGCAGUGUUUAGUAUAUAAGCAAAAUAAUGAUUAAAAUGCAGGAAAUAUAACAUUGCAGCAUUUAAUUUACAAGUAUUUUGCUGGGAAUGUAAUGUUAAUUUUCAACAUUAUCCAUAUUUAUUAAAAUGUAAGUUUAAUAUACUUGUAUUUUUAUUAUUAAUUUUUAUAUAAUACCAUCUCUUAAAUAUAUUUUUUAAUGUCAUAUUUUUUUUUAUUUNUUAAUUUCUUUUACCUAUAUUAUAUAAAAUUUAAUUUGAUAUUUUAUUUAUUUAAUUUUAUUUCAUGUUAUAAAAUUUAUUUAAUAUUUUUAUUUUAAUUAUAACGUUACAAAAUGUUUUUAAUAAGGUAACAAAGUUGAAAAGUAAAACUAUCUUUAAAAAUAUUACAGAGUGCAAUGAAAUGUGAUUGCAUUAGUUUUGGACUGCAAUCACAUUACAUCUUUUAGUUGUAAUGUGAUUGCAUUGUAAUCUUACAUUGCAGUGAUUUGUUGCAAAACAAACACUAUAAUGUAAUUUAAUUAGACACAUUACAAGAAAUGUGCUCUCACUUCUCUUAUACCAAAUGCUACCUAAAAAUAAAGAUACAGAUGCGAAUGGAAAAACAUUAUAUACUUUUAAACAUUAAAGAGAAACUUAUCCAAAAUCCGAACUCUAAAUUAAAAUUACCUAAUUAAGGCAAUAAAAUCAGGUAAUAAAUUUAUUCCUUAAAAGUUUACUAUAAGAUUGUGAGAUACUAUAGAAGGAAAAUUUUUUGCACUAACAAACAGUGCCUUCUGAAUCCCGAAAUUCAGAAGCGGGAAACGAAAAAUAUUUGUAAAAGGCGCCCAAAUUUAUUCCUCAAAGAGAAACAAAUUCAAAAUAGUUCCAACUCGCUCCUCAUUGGUUCAUUCGAAAUACACACGGAUCGCCCCGAAAUAAUCUUCGACCGUCGAUAAGUUUCCCAUUUAACGGCUAUCGUUCUCCACUGGCUCUACUCCAGCUCUUACAAAACCACCGCUAUAAAAUACACGAACAUCCCAUUAUCCGCUCAUCAUCUCUCGUGAAUUCCAAAAUCCAGAUCGGUCUUGCCAAAUUCACUUCUUGAAGGGUAGCGGGUGUUGUCGGGGUCGGGUUGAACCAAUGGAUACCGGAGGAAAAGUGAAGAAGGGCGCUGGAGGAAGGAAGGGCGGCGGCCCAAAGAAGAAACCUGUUUCAAGGUCGGUUAAAGCUGGGCUCCAAUUUCCCGUUGGAAGGAUCGGGCGUUACUUGAAGAAAGGAAGGUACUCGCAGCGAGUCGGAACCGGAGCACCAGUUUACAUGGCUGCCGUUCUUGAGUACUUAGCCGCUGAGGUAACUGAGAGUUAAAUCAUUCAAUGAUACAUCCAUUUGUUUUUUUUUUUGUUGAGGAUAAUUUUUAAUUUUGAUGAAUUUAAAUUUCGAUUCAGGUUCUCGAAUUGGCUGGAAACGCAGCGCGUGACAACAAGAAAAACAGGAUCAUACCAAGGCACGUACUACUCGCAGUGAGGAACGAUGAGGAACUUGGGAAACUUCUCGCCGGCGUCACCAUCGCCCACGGUGGCGUCUUGCCAAACAUCAACCCUGUUCUUUUGCCAAAGAAGACUGACAAAGCCACAAAGGAACCCAAAUCUCCAUCGAAAGCCACCAAGUCUCUCAAGAAAGCUUAGUUCGAUCAAGAAACUCUAAUUUUUAGGCCUUCUUUUGUCCUUAUUUAGUUGUAUGUGAUUACGGGGUCUUUAGGAUUUUGGUUGUUAAUGUGGAUGUGUAGGUGGAAAACUGUUUCAAAGAAAAUUUAAGAUAUUAUUGUUAGACUCCCAUUAUCAUGUAUGUGAUCUUCAUGGAAAUGAAACUACUUGUUUCUUUACAUACUGUUUCAGUUCAAUUCUUUCCUCUGCUUUCUGGGAUUUUUGUAUUGAAUGAGAUGCUUUGCUUAUGCAGUUUAAAAUUUCAAGCAAUUUUUCAGUUGUUUGCACAUGCUUGCAUUUGAUCCUUUAUUCCAUUCAGCUUAUCCCAGUGUGCCUUUAUUCCUCGCUUUCUGUUCUUGGUAUCUUUUUCUUUUUCUUCCAGUAAUUAAGAAUGAAUUUGGAGAAAAACAAAAGAUUAAUACCUUCUGAAGCUGUUUCGUGUUAAUAAUGUAACAGUGGAAAAGAAAAAAACAAAUAAAAGUUUAAAUAGUUUGGGGUUUGGGGCAUUUGAUUGGGUAUUUCCCCAAACGCGGUCGUUUAAGGUUUCUCUAAAGUCUUUGGCGAGGCCGAUGUUUGGAAGGAAUAAAAAAAAAAAAAAAGAGGCUUUCACUUAUGCCAAUUGAACUGUGAACUGUGUAGCUUAGAGGCCCAAUUCAUACAUUCAACAUUUCAAAUACAAGAUAGGAACAGACGGCCAAUUUCACUUCUAUCCAGUUGUUUUGGUUUCAAUUUCUUAGGUAAUCCAUCACCAUACGAUCUGAGAUCUGCGGGUUUAACCAAUGCCCCGCACAAGGGGCACCUUCUUUGCCCCUCAAACCACUCUGAUACACAAUCUGGGAAAACUUUCCCGUACUGAUUUCUGAGCUUUUGCCCGCCGGCCGCCGCACUCACAGCGCUGAAUAGCAAAAAGCAUGCAGAGUUUAAACGGAGCCUUUCGUCUCUUUCGUACAAUCCCAUUGGCUGGGUCGCUUUCGGUUCGCAAUUCUUGCUCCAAAUUAUUCGUUGGAGGUCUUGUAAAAUUUUUUCUCCUCGUUUUUCUCUUUAUCCAAACGGUGACAUUUCUGGGCUCAAAAAAAAAAAAAUCCAAAAAGCGGUUAUUUACUAUUUUGCUUCAAUGCUACUAUUAGAUAUUGAUUCCUGAAAAGUGUUGGUAAUUGCAGGGCUUUCUUAUGAUACAAACGAGACUGUUUUGAAAGAUGCUUUCGAGAAACAUGGUGAAAUCAUUGAAGGUAAUUUUCUCGGAUUCUUAUUUUCUUGGUCGUAUAUUUGUCUUACGCCAGUAAAAACAUGUUGAAAUUUUAGCAGUUCAGGUUAUUUGUCAUCAUGUGAGUGGGAAAUCGAGAGGGUAUGGAUUUGUGCGGUUUGCUUCUGAAGCUGCAGCUAAUGCUGCUCUUAAAGAAAUGCAUUCUCAGGUGAGGAAGUGAUGAAUUCAUUAACUCAAUUAUUACCAUACGUUUUUCUAUCUAAUAUAUGAGCAGUUUUGAGAUUUUCAUGUUGCAUGUUAUGUUUGUUUUUAGGUACUGGAUGGUAGAAAUAUUCGUGUUGAGUAUGCACACAAGGGAUGAUGAUUGAUGUUUUUCGACACAGGUUUGAUUUCUUUGAUGUUUGUAGGUAUUGAUUUCAGUCAAUCAACGUAGGACAACUUGAUAUUAUCAUUGCCUUUCAUAUGUUCAAUCAGUGAGAAACUUAGGGGCAUAUCAAAUAUCUUUGAUGGAUAGUUUCAUUUGAUUCACGAGAUCUUUGUAACACAUUUCAAAUAAAUCUCCUGAAUCAAGAUUUGAACCUACAACUAAACGGUUUUCUAAAUCUAGUUCGUGUACUGAUUAAGCAAGUGAGCAGCUCAACCUUUGAACAUACUUCAGCGAGGAGGUGAAGAGCCAAUAUCUAAGUGCCAGAUCUUUGAUACAGAAUAAUCCACUUCAAGGAAUGGGCCCAUAUCCAUGGCCAUAAAUAACUUAUAAACCAGUCUUGGAAGGGGUGGACAAUUAACAUAUAACAUACCUGUCAAGUUUUUUAUAGAUAAAUACAAUUGCUUUUGUCUGCCAGAGGCAGACUGUUGUAGAUGGGGAGCCAUUUUCUCUUUUUCCAUUGGGUCAUUGUGAUUGAGUUUGUUGUUAGAGCACAAGUUACAUUGGCAGAGCUUAUAUGCUUGACAUGUGAUGUUUAACCAAUCCAUCAUUAGGACCAUAAUGAAAGUGUUUUAAAAUUAUGGUAUAAGCUGCAUUUAGUAGGUGUUGGCUUCAUUUAGUAGAGACUAUUUACCCAGCUUGUGCAACUCAACCUUGUAAUCCAGGAAUUUGGUGUUAGUGGGAUAGUUGCUGUCCUUACAUCCUUGUGAUUUCUAAUGAAUGGUUUUUGCUCUUCAUCAUCAUCAGCCUAGCAAAUAGCAAGUGUCAUUAUUAUUUUUAUUUUAAGUGGCUAGGAAGCGGAUCAUAUUUAAUGUGUCUCUAUUUUGAUUAUGUACUGUAGGUAGCUCUGCUUGCCUCAAAAGUUUGACUGAAUCUUGCACGCCAUGUUGUGAUGCAAAAUGAGGAUAUUGACGCUGCUGCCUCAUGGACUGGUUAAUUUAAGUUUGCAGGUUGAAAUGUGAACAAUGGAUUUCUUUUUUCCGGAAACGUUAUAACUCAAGAGUUUCCAUUUCGCAUGGGAUCGGGGGCAUCAAUUUCUUGGGUCCAAAGGGAUGAGUUUUCUUUCAUGGCAUAAUGAUCUCCAAAACUAGGAGUUGGCUUUCUGAGUAGAAUGUUUGUAGCUUCCUACGCACUAGUGACAAACUUGACGCUGCUUUUUCAAGCGGGGGUAGUAUGGAUUAGGGAAAUGGCAGCUUAAAAGCUAGUUCUUUCUUUUUAUGUUUUAGCUAUAUUUGACUGUUUGAAGUUGUAUUAUUUAAUUUUUAGCUCUGGCAAUCCAAGUUUCAAGAUUAGCACAAAGAAAUGCCAUAUUGGCAAAUAUCUUGGCCAAAUGGAUGUUCCCAUAUGAAUGAUAAACUUUGCCUUUCACACUCAUAUGAAUAAUAAACUUUGCCAUUCCAAUGUGAAAAGAGACACAAAUGAUAGCAGAAGAAUAGUCAAUAUUUUAAGAUGAUAAUAACAAUAAUAAUGUUUUCAUUGCAUGUUGAAAAUAUUCUUUUGCUCAUCACUGCUGUAGUUACAUUCUACAAGUACUUUUGUUCUCUAAGGUACUGAAGGUAAGAUCUUAUCUUACAAACUCUGGCUAAAGGAAAAGUCUGUGAAACAAAUCCUUGCAUUAUUGAACGAUGUAUAGUAGUAUUCUUUUUAGCUAUCAUUAUCAUUCUCUGAAUUUUGACUGUUUGCGGAUUCAACAAAAAUCAACCUUCCGCGCACAAACUGUACAAAAAAAACCAAAGAAAGUAAGAUAGGGCGCGCCUGCGAAUCAUACACACUGGUUAAAGCGCUCUUCACGACACAUAACAAAACUAACACACUUACUCUAAAGCGGCACUAGGCAGAGUAUUAAUCAAAUUUUGUUACAGAAAGCAGAAAUUUCUUUCUGUAUCACAACAUAUGCAGAACUAUUUUACAGGAAAUCAGGUUUUGUUUAACCCCACAUUUACUCAACGUAUCAGAUGGCAAAUCACCAUUGUCAUCAGAAAGAAGCACUAUUACUUAAAUCUACUCGAAAAUUCUGUCCAAAAUUCUGAAUUUCAGAUAAUAUUAGAUGCAAAAAGAAGUGCAGUGAAGGUGAAUUUAAGAAUUACCCUGCCAUUCAUGGCUUUCAAUGCCUUCUGUGCCUCAUUCUCAGUUUCAAAUGUAACAAAACCAAAUCCUUUAGGCCUUUGAGUUUUGGGAUCUCUGAUUAGUUUGGCUACAUACAAAAACAAGACAACACAAUACAAUAAUCGGUCAAACUCUAUGAUUUUCAUAGAAAAAGACAAUCCAAUACAAGAACCGGUUAAACACUAUGAUUUCCAUAAAAAAAAAGGAAAAUUAAUUACCUUCUUUAACAACACCGAACGGUGAAAAUAAAGUUUUAAGAUCUUGAUGGGUCGUGAAAAAUGAUAACUCUGCGACAAAGAGUAAGAAUUAAUUCCUUAAAACAAAACCCAAAUUAAUCACAGAGAAAGAGAAGGAACAGUAACUGUUAACGAAGAGUUUGCAGCCUAAUCUCUUUGCCAUCUGAAGAUGAAGUGCGGCCCGCUCUUUACCCAAUCAAUAUUUCUUAAUUUUAUCCUCAGAUGAGGCCGCUCUGUUUAAAGUGUCAACCGUUUGCUGUUGUCAUAAUCCCUCUCAAUUAGCGGCGGAUGGAGAGUGGCGGUGGCGGAUGGAGAGUAAUGGUAUGAAUUUUAAUUUUUUUUUAAUUUCAUAUUAACAACAUAUGAAUUUAUGAAAGAAAUUGUAGUUAAAUUAUUAUUAUGUAUUUUUAAUUGAAAUGGAUUUAGUAAUCGAUAAAUUUGAAAACAAAAAAAAAUAUUAAGUAUUGUUUAGUUUACGAUACUUAAUGUGAAAAUUUAAUGCAAAUUUUUUAUUUUAUGUGAUGAAUUUAAAAAUUUAUAUUUACAUUGUUAAUAAAAUUUUAUAUCAAAAGUAAUUAAUUGUUUCUCUAAAUCGAAUUAUUAACUCAAUUUAUGACUGUCAUUGUUUUAAAAUGACAAGUUUAUUGGAGAAACUUUAGAUUCAGUCGCUCUUCAAACUACCAUUAUAUUCCUUUUUCCUUUUAUUUGAUUCUGAGAGCUUGGUUGAUUUGGUUUUGUUUUUUAAUUUAAAAGUUAUUAUAAAGUUUUUAUAAAAAAUAAUAAUUUUUAAAAUUAAGCUAAAAUUCUUUGAUAAAUUUAAUUUUGUAAGCUUUUUUUUAUAAGUUUUAAUUUUAGUUAAAAUUACCAUAAAGACUAUUUUUUUAGAGGAUAAUAUUGUGGUUAUUUUUAACAGAUGAAGAUAUUUUUGAAAUAAAAAUAAAAUUCUCAUGUGUUUUUAAAAGAAAGAAAAAAAAGCUCUUCUUUGGAGCUUUUUUUUAUAAAAAAAUUUUGUUUAAAAAAUUUAUUUUUUAAGAGUUUUUCAAAAUUUCUGUUUGGAUUGACUUUUUUUUAAAAGAUAAAUAAAUUGAAAAAAAAUUAAGCCAAAUAGGCACUAAGCUUUGUUUUCCUAUAUGAAAGAGAAUACUGAUCUUUCGAUGCAUAUGGUGCCACCAAAUGAAUCCAUCAUGCAUAACUUGCAGUAAAACAAUGCAGAAGCUUACCCUUUUCCCUGCUUAAUUGAUAGUCUAACAAAAACUACUCUAUGAGCAUGUUUGACUUGGCUUUUUUUAAUUUAAAAGCUAUUAUAAAACUCUUAUAAAAAAUAAUAACUUUUAAAAUUCAAUUAAAGUUGUUUGAUAAAUUUACUUUUUAUAAGCUCUGUUUUAUAAAUAAACUGUUUGGCAAAACAACUUAUAGAAAUUCUAAUUUUAGUUAAAAUUACCAUAAAAGGUAUUUAAUAAAUAACUUUUAUUUAUUAUUAAUUUUUUUGUUUAAAAUACAAAAAAUUAACUUUAUUUUUUAUCUAUUUAAAAUAAAAUUUUCAAAAUAUAAAAUUUUUUUAUAUUACAUAAAGUUUAUAACAUAAAAAAAGAGAUGAAAGAAAGUAAGUCGACUAUUAAAACCCUUAACCCUAACAAUGAAAGAGAACUCAAAAAAGAAUAAGAGAAAUAUAAAGUGAGAGUAAUAAUUUAGAAAAAUCACGUUUAGCUAUUGAUGUCCUUAUCAACAAAGUUCACCUCCAUGAACAAUAUUAUCUUAACAACCAUAAUCAACAAAUAUUAUCUCAAUUUUCAUCUAAUUUAUCUCAAUAACCAUUGGUCUAUUUGAUUAAUUAUUUUGAUCAUAAUUAUCAAAUAUUAUAUACAUCAUAAAAAAAUUAAGAAUAAAUAAAUAUCAUACAAUUAUCAUAUCAAACAAUAAACUGAUAAAUAUCAACUAAUAAAGAGAGUUUUCAAAGUAAAAAAAAAGAUAGAAAAUAAAAUGAAAAACAAAAUAAAAAAAAUACCUGAAUGCAGUUUCGAAAUUUUGAAUAUUUUUUUUUCUUAAUUUUUGUAAGAGCAAAAAAAACCUACAAUGAUGAUUUGCAGAAAGGGAGAGAGGAGAGAGAGAUCGAUUGGGAGAGAGAGUGAGUAUUUUUUGAGAAAGAAUCUUUUUAAGAAAAAAUAGCUCUCUUAAUAAGCUAACGUGUUUUUAAAAAUAAAAAAUAAAAAGAUCUUAAUUGGAGUUUUUUUUAGAUUUUAUUCUUUAAAAAAAAGUAGUUUUUUUUAAAAAACUUUUCACGAAAUCCUAUUUGACUCACCUUCUGCUUUUAAGCAGUAAAUAUGCUAAAAAUAAAUCAAUCCAAAUAGACACUAUAUCUAUUUCUAAAGGCAAUAACAGCUUUAGAGUAGUGACUAUUGAAAGAAUAUGAGAAAUGGUAAUCUAAACAUGAGCAAGUGACUCUUCGUACAAACUGUAUGUUUAUGAAUCUUUUUUUUCUUGUCACUACACAAAUGCUCAGCUAACAACAAUUGUUGUAGUUAUAAUUCGUUUCAAUGUAAGAAUCUCAAGCCAAGUUCUAAACAUUAACAACAAUUGUUCACUACUAAUCGUCCAUUUAGAGUACUCAGUACUGACUGAUGAGAAAAACUUUCUAAAAAUUGCUAAACUAGCUAGAAAGUGAAAGGGAGAAGAAGCUAAAUCCUACGAAUAAAUUACAUGUUUUAUUCUUUAGAAUAAUGAUUGUCCAGGUCAUUUCAUUCCUUCACAUAUGGCUUCUCAGUGUCAACCAGAGACAGAGUUAGUCAAAUUUUGUUAGGGGGGCCAAAUACAGAAAAAUAAGAGUUAAAAAUUUUCAAAAACUAAUAUGUUAAAUUUAAUCAAUAAUAAAAUAUUGAUAAUAGAAAUAUAAAAUUAAAUAUAAAACUAUAAUUGAUAAAAUAUAAAUAAUAAAAAAUGAUAUAUAAGAUUAAUAAUCAAAAUUAUUUAAAUAUUAUAUAUUUAAUAUAAUUUCAUUUCAAUUAAGUAUAAAACGUAAAGCAUAUAAAAAAAAUAUUCAAGUUAAUUUCCUCUUACAUAAUCAGGAUUAAUAAAAAAAAUGACACAUUGAUGAAAUUUUAAACAGCAAUGUAACACUACAACUUAUAUUUGAGAACUAUAAAAUAAUUUAUUAAUUUUUAAAGAUUAAAAUCAUAAAAAUAAAAUCUACGUAACAUAAAAAAAAAAAUGUCAAAUAGAAGGUAAAUACCAUAUAUUACAUAGUAAAAAAGAAAGAAAAAAGAAUAUAGUUAAUGAUUUGUAGAAAUUUGAGAAAAAAAUUUAUAACACUUAUAAUAUAUGAAUAAAUAGAAUAAAAAUAAUAAAAAAUAAUAAUAAUAUAAAUUGAAAAAAAAAUAAAAUUGAGUGAGAAAUGUGAAAUCAUUUUAUUAUUUAUUAUUUAUAUUAAUUAUUAAAUAAAAAAUUAUUUUGAGGAGGCCAUUAAUAGAAUAUAUAAAAAAGUUUAAAAAUUUUUAUAUGUUAAGAAAAAAAUUUUAAAAGUUAUGGCCUCCCAUCACAUAAGGAGGUUCCGCCCUGGUGUCAGCACAUAACAUCUGCUUUCCAUCCGAAAACAGCGGCUUCUUCCUGCACCAAUGAUUUCGAGUCAAAACCAACAAAAAUUUAUGUGCUAGUAGUUUUAUUCGUAAUGGAGUUCAUAUUGGAAAAACUAUUUACAGAUGGAGGAGAAAUCUUUCUUCCCUUACUAUUAUGUUACAGCAAUAUAGAACAUUAUCAACCACCUAUCUGCAUCAUAAAAGAAGAAAAGAAAUUCAGACGAAAAAACAGAGUAUACUCUGUUUAUACUAACAAGAAGGGUAUAAAAUCACCACAAUAAAGCAAUAACCUUUCAGGGAUUCAACUAAAGGAGAUAUAGUAAAAGUUCAAGAACAUUAAACAACAAGUUUCUCACGAUCAAAGAAAAAUGAUUCAACCAAAAAAUGAAAAAGAAAAGCAAAACAAUAACAUCAAGAGUGAAGAUAACCAAAUUGGCAUGGUUUCUUAGGAUUUUAGGCUGCAUGUUUCUUUAUGCAAGAAGUAAAGACAUGCAAAUGACUCCAUGUUAACUGAGAACAUCGAAAGCCAUACAAGAACAACGAGAACAGUUCAAGUAUCACUAAAUUAAAAUAAAAAAAAGGACCUUUCUAUUAUCAUUCUUGGUUUGCACAAGCAAAGAGUGAUUCAUUGGAACGUCCAAGAAGUGAAGGUGUGAAACUCCAAGGAGUUUCCCAGACCCAGAACUUUUAAAACACAUGGAAUCAUGAAAGAAUAUGAACAAAUCAUGCAAACAAAUGGAAGAAAGAGUUGUUACCUUGUAAAUGUAGUUUUCCUUGGAGACAAUGUGGGUGCUGCAUUUGCGGCACACAUAGAAACAAACAUCUGGAAUUGUAUCAAACGUAGUUAAAUUUGAGGAUAAGGACCCCGAUAUUGCAAUCUUGGACGAUGAAAGAUCUUCCAGAAAUGAACUCAAGAUGAUAUGUAGCUGUGUUCAAGAAACAAUAAUGUUGAAACCUGAAAUUCUGAAAAAAGUUUCUUAAGGCUCUUGAUUCUUGUGUUGUUUAUACCAGUUUUUGACCUUCUCGAAUGAGUUUAAUAGAUGAAGUUUCUUGGGUUUACUUUGAGAUGAAGAGAAGUGCGGUUGUGAAUUGUGAAAGAAAGUCGUGCAAUGGGUCCUAAAGAGAGCAUAUUAGAGCAAAGGGGACAGUGAAGGGACUCACAGCCAAAAAAACAAAAAAUGAAAGGAAAGGACAGAAAUUUAUUGUUGAAUCUAAGGCUAAACAUAGAUAAAAUCCUGACCUUUAACCUCAUGCAACUGCAGAAAUUUGUAGAACUAGCAUUUUUGCAUGAUAUUAUAGGAUAGAAUUAAUGCAUUAAGACCCUUGAGCUCGAGUCAGAGGUCAAUCCAAUUUACAAUAUGUUUUCAUUUAUCACUGUUUAAGUUUUAGUUGCAUUUUUUCGGGUAGUCUCUUUCUGCUUUCAUGUUCUCUAUAUAAAAUUCAUGAAUCCGUUUCCAAUACUCACUCUUCCUCUCGCAAGAACCUCCCUCCUUAAAACCCAUUUUCAGAAGUUUAUAAUCUACCUCUUGGAAACCGUCCGCAAUGACAGAGUAUUCAUCUGCCGAGAUUUUAGUAAUGGACUCUUCACACAGCAUUAUACACACCAUUAGAUUUGAUUGAAUUCCACAAACUCGUUUCUACAUAUGCCGUAACUUUGGAAACCAGGUCCUGUUAUCUGACCAACAGGUUACAAGGUAAAAACUCUUUUUGUCUCUCUCCAUCUAUCUAUUGAUCUAUCUACAUUCCUUCGUAAAUUUUAAGUGUUCUGAAUCCCUUAGAAACCAUAUCUUUUACAACAAUAUCAAGAAAGCAUAAUUUUUUCUAAGUCUUGAAAGAUAAAGUGUUUUUAAAAAUAAUUUUUUAUUUUUCACAAUUUGCUCUAUCAAGAAUCUUCUUUUACUAUUAAUGCUUCAACUGUUCUUUGCAUUCUUCGAUAAGUUUGAUGUUCUCACUUUACAUGCAAAUAUUUGCAUCUCUUUAUUCAUAAUACCAAGAAAUAUAGGAAGAAAGUCCAUUAUUUAAAUUUCUUGAACUGUUACUGUGUAGUAUUUAACAUUCAUUAGUGACAUAAAUCUUGCAACUUUUGUUUGAUUGACUUUACAUUCGAAGUGCUCUUGCGAUUUUUUUAACUGAUCUUUUAACUAUGAAUAGGAAUCCAUAAUAUUAAAUUCUUUAUGAUGUAUACGCUAUAAAUUUUCAUGUAUCCAAACUUAGCUUCUUUACAAAAGAAAUACAAUAUAAUGUAGAACAUUUACGAAGACAAAAGGAAAGGAAAGAAAAAUGUAGAUUAGUUUUGGGAUAUUGUACAUUUUAACCCCAUUAAGUUGCCGCCAUUUUUAGCUUCAGAUUUUUUUAGCUUCAGAUUGAGGUGUAAGGGUGUUACUUUUAACAAGUACCUUAUUUCCAACUACAGUUCAUUUCAUUUGUGGCUUAAUGAGCAAUCUUGAAGAAAAUUGUUUCAUAUUCUUUAGCUUCAAUUAGUUUGAAUUUCACUUAGAUGAAUGUGCGGCUCGGCGAUCAUUGGCAUAUGGACCAUUGGCCAACGGCGAACGUGUCUUGCAAUCAAUGUCACAGAUUGCUUGGCAAAAAAUUUGUAAGUUACUUAUAACUAUGUUUUUGCCUUUUUUUUGUCUUGGGAUUAUUUACAAACUGUAUAUGUAUCCUAUUAUUUUUAGGUUAGGAACGGAGCAUUGCAACAUGUUCAGAUAAAACUUUUGUACUUUAUGGGUAAAUUUGUUUUUUGGGCUUCCUCUCAAAUUCUGAACUCUAUUUUAUUCUAAAUAAAGCUAUUGUCAAAAAUGGAAAGUUGGAUUUCAUUUAAAAUGGAGGGUGUAAGAACGAGAUGCUAAUAUGGAAUGGGAACCGAGUGGCUUAUGCUGACACAAAAGAGCCAGCUUACGACAAUUGAAUAACAAGAAAGGAAAUUUAUAGAAGCUUUCAAGUCAAAGUUUCAGUGAACAUGCAAAUUUUCGCAAAAGAAAGGAAUUCUUGUUGAUUUUCUUUUUUCAUUUUAGCUCUCAUUUUUUUUCUAUUCAUUUUGAGGAUUCUUUGAGUAGUUAAUACUGUGAAUGGAGUUUAAUUUACUAUGUCAAAAUUGUAAAUGUUGUGGUCUAUUAAUAGUUUACUUGACAUAUCGCAUACACAAAACAGAUAGCCAACAUUUUAUACAGGGCAAAUAAUUCCAUUGACCAUUUUGAUGUGCUCUAAAAUUGAAUUUAACAUCUCUUUGGCAAAAUUUAUAUAACUAUAUAUUAAAGGAAGUCUCGAGGGGCUUUUAGGUUGACAUUUGGUAAGCUCUAUGCCUGACACUUGGCAUUUUAUAUGUGGGACACAUGACCCACUUGAAGUUUUUUUGAGUUUUUGUGUCUUUGAGAGGGCUUUGUGGUCAUUUCCUCUCGCAUUUAGUCUCCAAAUGAUUUUUUUUUCCUUUUCUCCUUUCUUCUGUUUCUUUGCUUUGCUUUGGAUGGGCUUUUUUUGGUCGUUUGUCUAAUUGAUAUAGGCAUAGGCAUGGCUUUUUGGUCUUUUUCUACUGUCAUGCUUUUAGAUUUUGUCCUUGCGCUCUAGGUUUUUCUGCUAAUCCGUUCUUCAUUUUUUUUGUCUAUGUCUUCUCUGCUUUAACUACUGUUUUCUUUUAUAAUUUUAUUUUGUUUUCUUCCUUUGUUUUGGUGCUUUUUUGUUCAUUUUUUGUGGUUUUUGAUUUGUUCAAGUGGUGUUUUUCUUGGUUUCUUUACAUUUUUGUAUUUCGAUUUGUAAUUGGUUUUUUUCUUUUUUUGCAUUUCAUUUUCACUGUUCUUUUACUGUUUCUAUCUUUUUAUUCUUCGUUUCUCUUUUUUCUUACCUCUCAUUGCUCCACUUUUGUAAUUUUGAUUUUUUUCUUUUGUUUUGAUAUGUGGGUUUUGUGAUUUGAAUUUAUUUAUUUACAAGUUCUACUCUUUUUUAAUUUGCUUCACGUUUUGAUUUUUUCAAAUUUUAUUUUGAUUAUUUUCUUUCAUGUUCUAAGUUAGUUUUUAUUGUCUUUUCUACCAAAAAUACAUAAGACAGAAUUUAUGAAGAAAAUCCAAACAAAAAGGACUAAAUGCUAAAUUUGAAGCCAAAACUUUUGGAUUUUUGUCAAUUUAGGGCAAACAUUGCAAUUAUAACAAUUAAUGGCCAAAGUUUUCGGUUGGUGAGAGGUGUCUGGCGCCAGUAAGGUAGUUUUUGUAAGAGUAAGAUACGGAAGUGUAGUUUUAUAAGGAAGUCUUUUCUGUUAAGUUAAAAUAGUUUAAAUUAUGACGUGACGUUUAAUAAUUUUUUUAUUAUGAUAUAUAAUAAUUAAAUUUUUUAAUAUAUAAUAAUUAAAUUUUUAAUAUAACGUGUAACGAUUAUAUUUUUCAAUGACAUCUAAUAAUUAAAUUUUUAAUAUGACGUAUAAUAACUAAUUUAUAACAUAAUUUAUAAUAACUAAAUUUUUAACAUAACAUAUAAAAAUUACAUUUUCAACACGAUUUUUUAUCACAUGUAAUACAUGUUUUAUUUCCUUGUCAACUUAACUUUUAAUUAUAAAAAAUCGAAAACAUUUGACUCUUGAUUGUUAUAAUUGAUAUGCUUAAUCCUUAAUUGAAAAAGUGCUUAAACUUUUAACCCCAAUUUAAGCAUUUAGCCAACAAAAAAUUAUGAUGAUCCAUCCUCAAUAAAAAUCCAAAAAAUUUAUGACGAAUUAUAAACUGAAAAUAAAAAAUUCAUGAAGAAUAUUUCACGAUAUGAUCACAAAAGAAAAAAAUCCCGCAACAUGGACCAUUUCAUAUAUAAAAAAAAAAACAACAAAAGAUUUUGUCAUCCCGAGCCCUUUUAGUUUUUUCCUUCUUUCAGUUAGUACCAUACAUGUGUUUUGUAGCUUUUUGACUUAACAGUAAACUAUAUUUUAGAAAAAAGUAGGGUUCAGGAAAACUAACAUUUGGCGGAAAGUUUGAUGGAAAUUGUGGAUUUAAUCCAACAAUUAUUCCUAUUAAAAAAGUCAUUGUUCAUCUGACCUGUACAAACCCUAAACGCUUCAAUCUUAAGAAUCAUCGAACUGCAAAAUCUCAAAUGCUUUCCAAUAUUCAUCAUUAGAAUGCAGUCCUUGCCCAUGGCCCAUAUGCAACUCUGAGCAAUGUUGCCGCAUUCCAAGGCUUUUGAUUUAAAGUGCCAUAUUCACUUUCCUCCAAGGCUCUGCCAACACUCAGUAUGAAACUUUAAACUAGCUUUAUUUGAUUCACUUCCUCCGAAUCAUUUCAGAACUGAAUUUACAAUAAACAUUAAUUUAAAAAAAAAAAUUAAAGAAACAAACAAUUGCCCAUAAAUUGUACCAAAUUGUAUUUAAUUUCAUUCAAUUCUACCAUAGUCACAUCCGGAUCGAGAAGAUCCAUCCUCAAUUACAGACCAAAUCCUAAAAAAAGAGAUGCAGAAAUCAACCACAUAAAAUCAGAGAAAGUAAAAAAGCCACGCGAUCUACUUUAGAAACCCCUAACCCUAACUACAUAACAAAUUUCCUUUUCAAGAAGAAGUAAACUUGGUCACGGCUUUGGUCCCUUCUGAAACGGCGUGCUUAGCAAGCUCACCGGGAAGUACAAGUCUAACAGCGGUCUGGAUUUCCCUGGAAGUAAUAGUCGGCUUCUUGUUGUACCUCGCGAGUCUUGAAGCCUCUUGAGCAAGCUUCUCGAAGAUAUCGUUGAUAAAACUGUUCAUAAUUCCCAUGGCUUUGCUUGAGAUCCCGAUGUCUGGGUGGACUUGCUUGAGGACCUUGAAGAUAUAGAUCUUGUAGGUCUCAGUGCUCUUCUUAACCCUCUUCUUCUUCUUGUCUCCGGCCGCUGCUCCGCCUUCCUUGGGAAGCUUUUUGCCAGCCUUGGGCUUCUUCUCCGCCGGAGCUUUCUCCGCUACCGUCAUCUUCUUCUCCUCUGCGGGCUUCUUCUCU
rnacentral:lncRNA from 1 species